UACGUAGGGGGCUAGCGUUAUCCGGAAUUACUGGGCGUAAAGGGUGCGUAGGCGGCCUGUUAAGUCAGGGGUGAAAGACGGUAGCUCAACUAUCGCAGUGCCCUUGAUACUGAUGGGCUUGAAUACACUAGAGGUAGGCGGAAUGUGACAAGUAGCGGUGAAAUGCAUAGAUAUGUCACAGAACACCGAUUGCGAAGGCAGCUUACUAUGGUGUCAUUGACGCUGAGGCACGAAAGCGUGGGGAUCAAACAGG
rnacentral:rRNA from 1 species